AGCGAACGCUGGCGGCAGGCUUAACACAUGCAAGUCGAACGGGCAUCUUCGGAUGUCAGUGGCAGACGGGUGCGUAACACGUGGGAACGUACCCUUCGGUUCGGAAUAACUCAGGGAAACUUGAGCUAAUACCGGAUACGCCCUUUUGGGGAAAGGUUUACUGCCGAAGGAUCGGCCCGCGUCUGAUUAGCUUGUUGGUGGGGUAACGGCCUACCAAGGCGACGAUCAGUAGCUGGGCUGAGAGGAUGAUCAGCCACACUGGGACUGAGACACGGCCCAGACUCCUACGGGAGGCAGCAGUGGGGAAUAUUGGACAAUGGGCGCAAGCCUGAUCCAGCCAUGCCGCGUGAGUGAUGAAGGCCUUAGGGUUGUAAAGCUCUUUUGUCCGGGACGAUAAUGACGGUACCGGAAGAAUAAGCCCCGGCUAACUUCGUG
rnacentral:rRNA from 1 species